rnacentral:rRNA from 1 species
GAUGAACGCUGGCGGCGUGCUUAACACAUGCAAGUCGAACGGAAAGGCUCCUGCUUGCAGGGGUACUCGAGUGGCGAACGGGUGAGUAACACGUGGGUGAUCUGCCCUGCACUUCGGGAUAAGCCUGGGAAACUGGGUCUAAUACCGGAUAGGACGAUGGUUUGGAUGCCAUUGUGGAAAGUGUUUCGGUGUGGGAUGAGCUCGCGGCCUAUCAGCUUGUUGGUGGGGUAAUGGCCUACCAAGGCGUCGACGGGUAGCCGGCCUGAGAGGGUGUACGGCCACAUUGGGACUGAGAUACGGCCCAGACUCCUACGGGAGGCAGCAGUGGGGAAUAUUGCACAAUGGGCGCAAGCCUGAUGCAGCGACGCCGCGUGGGGGAUGACGGCAUUCGGGUUGUAAACUCAUUUCGCUAGGGACGAAGCGCAAGUGACGGUACCUGGAGAAGAAGCACCGGCUAAAUACGU